UCCCCUCCCCGGCCCCACCCGUGAAAUGGUACGGUCUCCGGUUGCCCGGUAACUGCGGCAGAUACAGAACAUAAGGGGGGUCCUUUAUUUGCUGGCACACUGUGGACUCCUGGGGGGCGGCAGGGGGCCUGAGGGCCCUCCUCGGGAUCAUGCCUUUUGAUGCACCAGAUCCAACGCCCGGAUUACGCAGGAAACCGUCACUUCUACAGAGCAGAACCGCAAAGCAGGGCAGGAGCCCGGGGAAGAGCUCCAGCCCCAAAGCGUCACCCGCCGGGAGCCAGCAGGGGGGCCGGCGCCCACUCAGUGCUUGAGAAGCUGCGGGAAGGGCCCCAGAGGUCCAGGGGAAGGUCUGCCUAACGAGCAACGAGGCUAAAUGGGGAGGCCUGGUCGCAUGAGAUGGAAGAUCUCUCUUAUCUCCUUCUGGGGGGCCCAGCCACCAAUUUGCCGCGGAGAGAGGGCUUCUGGCGUAGCUCCACUAAAGUCCGUCAAAAGUG